CUCCUACGGGAGGCAGCAGUGAGGAAUAUUGGUCAAUGGACGCAAGUCUGAACCAGCCAUGCCGCGUGCAGGAAGACGGCUCUAUGAGUUGUAAACUGCUUUUGUACGAGGGUAAACGCUCUUACGUGUAAGAGCCUGAAAGUAUCGUACGAAUAAGGAUCGGCUAACUCCGUGCCAGCAGCCGCGGUAAUACGGAGGAUCCAAGCGUUAUCCGGAUUUAUUGGGUUUAAAGGGUGCGUAGGCGGUUUGAUAAGUUAGAGGUGAAAUACCGGUGCUUAACACCGGAACUGCCUCUAAUACUGUUGAACUAGAGAGUAGUUGCGGUAGGCGGAAUGUAUGGUGUAGCGGUGAAAUGCUUAGAGAUCAUACAGAACACCGAUUGCGAAGGCAGCUUACCAAACUAUAUCUGACGUUGAGGCACGAAAGCGUGGGGAGCAAACAGGAUUAGAUACCCUGGUAGUCCACGCAGUAAACGAUGAUAACUCGCUGUCGGCGAUACACAGUCGGCGGCUAAGCGAAAGCGA
rnacentral:rRNA from 1 species